rnacentral:rRNA from 1 species
GACGAACGCUGGCGGCGUGCUUAACACAUGCAAGUCGAACGGUAAGGCCCUUCGGGGUACACGAGUGGCGAACGGGUGAGUAACACGUGGGUGAUCUGCUCUGCACUUCGGGUUAACCCUGGGAAACUGGGGCCAAUACCGGAUAGGACCACCGCCUGCAAGGGGGGUGGGGGAAAUCAUUUGCGGUGUGGGAUGGGCCCGGGGGCUACCAGCUUGUUGGUGGGGUGAUGGACGACCAAGGCGACGACGGGUAGCCGGCCUGAGAGGGGUGACCGGCCACACUGGGACUGAGAUACGGCCCAGACUCCUACGGGAGGCAGCAGUGGGGAAUAUUGCACAAUGGGCGCAAGCCGGAUGCAGCGACGCCGCGUGAGGGAUGACGGCCUUCGGGUUGUAAACCUCUUUCAGCACCGACGAAGCGCAAGUGACGGUAGGUGCAGAAGAAGGACCGGCCAACUACGUGCCAGCCGCCGCAGUAA